CAGGCCUAACACAUGCAAGUCGAACGAGGAGCGAUGGAAGCUUGCUUCUAUCAAUCUUAGUGGCGAACGGGUGAGUAACGCGUAAUCAACCUGCCCUUCAGAGGGGGACAACAGUUGGAAACGACUGCUAAUACCGCAUGCGAUCCAACCUCGGCAUCGAGGAUGGAUGAAAGGUGGCCUCUAUUUAUAAGCUAUCACUGAAGGAGGGGAUUGCGUCUGAUUAGCUAGUUGGAGGGGUAACGGCCCACCAAGGCAAUGAUCAGUAGCCGGUCUGAGAGGAUGAACGGCCACAUUGGGACUGAGACACGGCCCAGACUCCUACGGGAGGCAGCAGUGGGGAAUCUUCCGCAAUGGACGAAAGUCUGACGGAGCAACGCCGCGUGAGUGAUGACGGCCUUCGGGUUGUAAAGCUCUGUUAAUCGGGACGAAAGGUCUUCUUGCGAAUAGUUAGAAGAAUUGACGGUACCGGAAUAGAAAGCCACGGCUAACUACGUGCCAGCAGCCGCGGUAAUACGUAGGUGGCAAGCGUUGUCCGGAAUUAUUGGGCGUAAAGCGCGCGCAGGCGGAUCAGUUAGUCUGUCUUAAAAGUUCGGGGCUUAACCCCGUGAUGGGAUGGAAACUGCUGAUCUAGAGUAUCGGAGAGGAAAGUGGAAUUCCUAGUGUAGCGGUGAAAUGCGUAGAUAUUAGGAAGAACACCAGUGGCGAAGGCGACUUUCUGGACGAAAACUGACGCUGAGGCGCGAAAGCCAG
rnacentral:rRNA from 1 species